rnacentral:rRNA from 1 species
AAAGAAACCAACAGGGAUUGCCCCAGUAACGGCGAGUGAAGCGGCAACAGCUCAAAUUUGAAAUCUGGCCCCAGGCCCGAGUUGUAAUUUGCAGAGGAUGCUUUUGGCGCGGUGCCUUCCGAGUUCCCUGGAACGGGACGCCAUAGAGGGUGAGAGCCCCGUACGGUUGGACACCAAGCCUUUGUAAAGCUCCUUCGACGAGUCGAGUAGUUUGGGAAUGCUGCUCUAAAUGGGAGGUACAUUUCUUCUAAAGCUAAAUAUUGGCCAGAGACCGAUAGCGCACAAGUAGAGUGAUCGAAAGAUGAAAAGCACUUUGAAAAGAGGGUUAAACAGCACGUGAAAUUGUUAAAAGGGAAGCGCUUGUGACCAGACUUGCGUCCGGUGAAUCACCCAGCUCUCGCGGCUGGGGCACUUCGCCGGCACAGGCCAGCAUCAGCUUGCCGUCGGGGACAAAAGCUUCAGGAACGUGGCUCCUCUCGGGGAGUGUUAUAGCCUGUUGCACAAUACCCUUCGGCGGGCUGAGGUACGCGCUCCGCAAGGAUGCUGGCGUAAUGGUCAUCAGCGACCCGUCUUGAAACACGGACCAAGGAGUCAACCUUAUGUGCGAGUGUUUGGGUGUUAAACCCCUACGCGUAAUGAAAGUGAACGCAGGUGAGAGCUUCGGCGCAUCAUCGACCGAUCCUGAUGUUCUCGGAUGGAUUUGAGUAAGAGCAUAUAGGGUUGGACCCGAAAGAAGGUGAACUAUGCGUGUGUAGGGUGAAGCCAGAGGAAACUCUGGUGGAGGCUCGCAGCGGUUCUGACGUGCAAAUCGAUCGUCAAACAUGCGCAUGGGGGCGAAAGACUAAUCGAAC